GAUGAACGCUAGCGGCAGGCUUAACACAUGCAAGUCGAGGGGUAUAGGUUUUCGGACCUAGAGACCGGCGCACGGGUGCGUAACGCGUAUGCAAUCUACCUUUCACAGAGGGAUAGACCAGAGAAAUUUGGAUUAAUACCUCAUGGUAUAGCAGUUUCGCAUGAAACCACUAUUAAAGUUCCCACGGUGAACGAUGAGCAUGCGUCCCAUUAGCUAGAUGGUAAGGUAACGGCUUACCAUGGCUACGAUGGGUAGGGGUCCUGAGAGGGAGAUCCCCCAAACUGGUACUGAGACACGGACCAGACUCCUACGGGAAGCAGCAGUGAGGAAUAUUGGUCAAUGGACGCAAGUCUGAACCAGCCAUGGCGCGUGCAGGAUGACGGUCCUAUGGAUUGUAAACUGCUUUUGUACGAGAAGAAACAACAUUACGUGUAAUGUCUUGACGUUAUCGUAAGAAUAAGGAUCGGCUAACUCCGUGCCAGCAGCCGCAGUAACAC
rnacentral:rRNA from 1 species